rnacentral:rRNA from 1 species
UACGUAGGGUGCAAGCGUUUGUCCGGAAUUAUUGGGCGUAAAGAGCUCGUAGGCGGUUUGUUGCGUCGGCUGUGAAAUCCCGAGGCUCAACCUCGGGUCUGCAGUCGAUACGAGCAAACUAGAGUGUUGCAGGGGAGACUGGAAUUCCUGGUGUAGCGGUGAAAUGCGCAGAUAUCAGGAGGAACACCGGUGGCGAAGGCGGGUCUCUUGGGCAACAACUGACGCUGGAGGAGCGAAAGCCGUGGGGAGCGAACAGG